CCUACGGGGGGCUGCAGUGGGGAAUAUUGCACAAUGGGCGCAAGCCUGAUGCAGCCAUGCCGCGUGUGUGAAGAAGGCCUUCGGGUUGUAAAGCACUUUCAGCGGGGAGGAAGGCGUUAAGGUUAAUAACCUUGGCGAUUGACGUUACCCGCAGAAGAAGCACCGGCUAACUCCGUGCCAGCAGCCGCGGUAAUACGGAGGGUGCAAGCGUUAAUCGGAAUUACUGGGCGUAAAGCGCACGCAGGCGGUCUGUCAAGUCGGAUGUGAAAUCCCCGGGCUCAACCUGGGAACUGCAUUCGAAACUGGCAGACUAGAGUGUUGAAGAGGGGGGUAGAAUUCCAGGUGUAGCGGUGAAAUGCGUAGAGAUCUGGAGGAAUACCGGUGGCGAAGGCGGCCCCCUGGGCAAAGACUGACGCUCAGGUGCGAAAGCGUGGGGAGCGAACAGGAUUAGAUACCCUGGUAGUC
rnacentral:rRNA from 1 species